CAGGAAACUACUUUCCAUUUUGCCUUUGCACCAUGAGGUGCGCUACUCCCACGUCCCACGUUCCAUACUCCUGACUUUGCAUGGAUGUGGCACACAUCAGAAUGCAACAGCUAAGCAAGUGUACAUAUAUAACCAAUAAGAGCUAACCAAAAGAUAAGCAAAGCAGGAUCUCCAACCAAGUGGGAGAGAGAGAAGGGCACAAGGGAAUAUAGAAAAUUAGAAACUGCACCAAAAGGAAAGCCAAGUUGAAGUACAUGGAGUGAUAUUCACAAUGAGAAGGUCAUUUAUGGGAGUUGCCUCUAGCUCUAAACAAUGACUACGUUUAAAGAAGCUUAAAAAUACUACAUAAAAGCGAAAGAAAAAAA